rnacentral:siRNA from 1 species
UGUAAUGCUCCUUCUCGCCACCU